AUUGAACGCUGGCGGCAUGCCUUACACAUGCAAGUCGAACGGCAGCACGGGUGCUUGCACCUGGUGGCGAGUGGCGAACGGGUGAGUAAUACAUCGGAACGUACCUUAUCGUGGGGGAUAACGCAGCGAAAGCUGUGCUAAUACCGCAUACGCCCUGAGGGGGAAAGCGGGGGAUCGCAAGACCUCGCGCGAUUAGAGCGGCCGAUGCCUGAUUAGCUAGUUGGUGGGGUAAAAGCCCACCAAGGCGACGAUCAGUAGCUGGUCUGAGAGGACGAUCAGCCACACUGGGACUGAGACACGGCCCAGACUCCUACGGGAGGCAGCAGUGGGGAAUUUUGGACAAUGGGCGCAAGCCUGAUCCAGCAAUGCCGCGUGAGUGAAGAAGGCCUUCGGGUUGUAAAGCUCUUUUGUCAGGGAAGAAACGGGAUUGGCUAAUAUCUAGUCCUAAUGACGGUACCUGAAGAAUAAGCACCGGCUAACUACGUGCCAGCCGCCGCCGUAA
rnacentral:rRNA from 1 species